GAUGAACGCUGGCGGCGUGCCUAAUACAUGCAAGUCGAGCGAACAGACGAGGAGCUUGCUCCUCUGACGUUAGCGGCGGACGGGUGAGUAACACGUGGAUAACCUACCUAUAAGACUGGGAUAACUUUGGGAAACCGGAGCUAAUACCGGAUAAUAUAUUGAACCGCAUGGUUCAAUAGUGAAAGACGGUUUUGCUGUCACUUAUAGAUGGAUCCGCGCCUCAUUAGCUAGUUGGUAAGGUAACGGCUUACCAAGGCGACGAUGCGUAGCCGACCUGAGAGGGUGAUCGGCCACACUGGAACUGAGACACGGUCCAGACUCCUACGGGAGGCAGCACUAGGGAAUCUUCCGCAAUGGGCGAAAGCCUGACGGAGCAACGCCGCGUGAGUGAUGAAGGUCUUCGGAUCGUAAAACUCUGUUAUUAGGGAAGAACAAAUGUGUAAGUAACUAUGCACGUCUUGACGGUACCUAAUCAGAAAGCCACGGCUAACUACGUG
rnacentral:rRNA from 1 species